rnacentral:rRNA from 1 species
GGGUGAGUAACGCGUAGGUAACCUGCCUUGUAGCGGGGGAUAACUAUUGGAAACGAUAGCUAAUACCGCAUAACAAUGGAUGACACAUGUCAUUUAUUUGAAAGGGGCAAUUGCUCCACUACAAGAUGGACCUGCGUUGUAUUAGCUAGUAGGUGAGGUAACGGCUCACCUAGGCGACGAUACAUAGCCGACCCGAGAGGGUGAUCGGCCACACUGGGACUGAGACACGGCCCAG